CAACAUAAGUCCGAUCUGAAAGCAAUGUAUUUUGAUGAUAAAAAGAGCACCGAAGCCAAUUACAACAAUAAACCGAAAUCGGUGACUCCGGACCAGUGGAGAUCUCUAGUUAAUCAUUGGACAACCGAGAAAGCGAAGGGGCUUAGUGCUAUAAAUAGAAACAAUUGUUCAAUGAGGAAGUCUACACAUACUAGUGGGACAAAAAGUUUCCCUCGUUAGAGGGAAGAAAUGAAAGAUGCAGAUCCUGAAAAGAAGUACCCUCAUAGGGCUCACCUGUUCAUCCAUACGCACAAGCCGAAAACUUGCAAGAACAAAAUCAUUAAUGCUCAUGUGGAGGAGUUAAAGGAUAUUAUGGAUAAGAACCCUGAAUUAGCAAAUAACAGCGAUGGAAAGACUGCAUGGAAAGGGGAUGCGUUGAACAAAGUAUUAGGGGAUGACAAGCCUGGCCAUGUACAUGGUUUGGGACUAGUUCCAAACCCCAAAAAACUUUUUGAUGUUUCUACUUCACGUCUAUUCCAGAAUACGCAUUUUACUUCGGUGGAAGAUACACCAAAUGAAGAUAUGCUAGCUUUUAGAGUUGAAAUGGAAAAAUUACAAGAAGUAAAUAAAAAUCAAGAUGCUAAAAUUAUGGAACUCGAGGAGAAGAUGAGAAGAAUGGAAAGACGACCAUAUCAGGUAAAUUUCUAACAACUGUAAUCAUCCUUCAUUAUGUAU